UACAGAGGUCCCAAGCGUUGUUCGGAUUCACUGGGCGUAAAGGGUGCGUAGGCGGUCGGGUAAGUCUGACGUGAAAUCUUCAAGCUCAACUUGGAAACUGCGUCGGAUACUAUUCGGCUAGAGGAAUGGAGAGGAGACUGGAAUACUUGGUGUAGCAGUGAAAUGCGUAGAUAUCAAGUGGAACACCAGUGGCGAAGGCGAGUCUCUGGACAUUUCCUGACGCUGAGGCACGAAAGCCAGGGGAGCAAACGGG
rnacentral:rRNA from 1 species